UCCCAGGACUGCCGGAGUCUGCCCUGCCUGAACGGGGGUACGUGUGCGAAGGGCGACGACUCCCACAUCUGCGACUGCGUAGCCGGGUUCAAGGGCAGGCAGUGUGAGCUGUUCUGCCAGCGAGUGCCCCACCCGUGUACCCGCCUUUACUCUGAAACAAAGAGCGUGCCCGUCUGGGUGGGCGAAGUCUGUCAUUACCUGUAUAAAAGGACGUAUAAAGUCCAGCAGGAUGUUUGCUAUCGAGAGAUCUGUGAACCACCGCUGCUUCCCAAGAAAAGCCCCAACAGAAGAACUAACAGGCAACAUUAAUGAAAGCUAAUCUUGGAUGACCCAUGUUGCCCCAGAGAUUGGCCUGUGUGAUGACCCAUGUUGUCCAGAGAUUGGCCUGUGUGAUGACCCAUGUUGCCCAGAGAUUGGCCUGUGUGAUGACCCAUGUUGCCCAGAGAUUGGCCUGUGUGAUGACCCAUGUUGCCCCAGAGAUUGGCCUGUGUGAUGACCCAUGUUACCCCAGAGAUUGGCCUGUGUGAUGACCCAUGUUGCCCAGAGAUUGGCCUGUGUGAUGACCCAUGUUGCCCAGAGAUUGGCCUGUGUGAUGACCCAUGUUGCCCCAGAGAUUGGCCUGUGUGAUGACCCAUGUUGCCAAGAGAUUGGCCUGUGUGAUGACCCAUGUUGCCCAGAGAUUGGCCUGUGUGAUGACCCAUGUUGCCCAGAGAUUGGCCUGUGUGAUGACCCAUGUUGCCCAGAGAUU